rnacentral:rRNA from 1 species
AUUGAACGCUGGCGGCAUGCCUUACACAUGCAAGUCGAACGGUAACAGGUCUUCGGACGCUGACGAGUGGCGAACGGGUGAGUAAUACAUCGGAACGUGCCCGAUCGUGGGGGAUAACGAGGCGAAAGCUUUGCUAAUACCGCAUACGAUCUACGGAUGAAAGCGGGGGAUCUUCGGACCUCGCGCGGACGGAGCGGCCGAUGGCAGAUUAGGUAGUUGGUGGGAUAAAAGCUUACCAAGCCGACGAUCUGUAGCUGGUCUGAGAGGAUGAUCAGCCACACUGGGACUGAGACACGGCCCAGACUCCUACGGGAGGCAGCAGUGGGGAAUUUUGGACAAUGGGCGAAAGCCUGAUCCAGCCAUGCCGCGUGCAGGAUGAAGGCCUUCGGGUUGUAAACUGCUUUUGUACGGAACGAAAAGCCUCUUUCUAAUAAAGAGGGGUCAUGACGGUACCGUAAGAAUAAGCACCGGCUAACUACGU